CUUUAGUUCUGUCAGUGACAACGCCACACUUUCUGGAUAUAAUCAAGGCGACCACGUGACUCGGGUUACAUUACAAUACUCAUAUAUAAGUCGAGUUUACCAUUGUCUUUGGAUACCGAGACCCCGCACACAAGAGUAAGCACAAGAGUUCAAGCAGCCCCAGCAAGAGGUCAAAGCUACAGACAUUUACAGACCGUUAGCACAAGUCAGACCAGAGAAUAGUUCCAAUGGCUAGCUCACUGCAGUCUCUACUUGUAUUGAUGCUCUGCUGUUUAUUUAUCAUCUCAGCCUAUGAGUAUAAAAAGAAUGGAAAAGAAUACCGGGAAUACGACUACGGCGGCUAUCCCAUGAUGCCUAUGUUCGUCCCAUUUCCUAUGCCCUUCUUCGGCAACGGUUACAACAGAGAGUAUAACGAGUACCCUUACGGCUGGUAACGAGUUCAGAGGAGAUCACUCUUCUAUGUAGUUUGUCAGCCUGUUACAGUCGAGAAUGUUGAGUUACUUUCCAUGCAUUAUGUCAUCCAGCAGUGUUACAAACUGAUAUGAAUUGUUCUAAGGUAGACAAUCAAAGAUUAUUGAGCAGGAAAGUGUCUAUGUCAUAAAGUGAUGGCCAGUUGAAUUGAGAUAUUUAUUCAAUUUAGUUAUACGUUCAAUUAAAAUCUGAUUUAAAAAUCGUUUUUUUGCAUACUAAAGUCACUGGACACCGUUAGGUUCUUGAGUACAUGCAAAGGAACUAACUCAGAAGAGACAAAAAAAAAUGGCUGUUAUAAUUUGGUCAAAACAUUUGAUGGCUUUCUCAGACAAUAAGAUUUUUUUUUUAGUCUUAAUAUCAAGCCAGUCAGAUAGAUUCAAAAUUAAACAUGUUAUUUGUUAAAGCAAGUAGACCACGCCCUAAAGAUAAUUUUUUUCUUUAUCUAUCUGUUAGUGUACAGUGCCAGUUCUCACAUACUCUCAAGAUUCUUUUAUAUUUGUUUGUACAUUUGUUGUUAUGCAUUUUAAUUUGUCAAUACGCCGCUGUAGCAGUCUGCAUUAUUUCCAUUUCACCCUUUGCAUUUUCUAGCAUUCCACAGUUCUUAUUGGUUUUCAUAAUGGUCACCAAAAUUACUGUUAUUGUUACCGAAGCUAGUAUCAUCUAUAGUGUAUCACAAUCGAUAUAUCUUGUAGAAUUGUAUUCUAGAAUCGGAACAAGAAAUAUAAUCACAAACAUAGUGUCAUAGCCUGAAUAUAAGCUCAAUCUUUUUCUACUUUGUAUUCUUUCUAGAAUUCUUUACCUGUUGGAAUAUGUACAAUUUUGUUGAAAUAUGUUCAUUGUACACAAUUUGUUGAAACAAUGUUAUUUUAUAUUUAUUUUGAAAAAAAAGACACUGAAUAAAGUUACUAAAUAAGA